GACGAACGCUGGCGGCGUGCUUAACACAUGCAAGUCGAACGGAGAGGCCCUGCUUUUGUGGGGUACUCGAGUGGCGAACGGGUGAGUAACACGUGAGUAACCUGCCCUGGACUUUGGGAUAACGUCAGAAAACGGGGGCUAAUACCGAAUAGGAGCUCCUGCUGCGUGGUGGGGGUUGGAAAUUUUCGGCGGUUGUGGAUGGACUCGCGGUUUAUCAGCUUGUUGGUGGGGGAGGGGCUUACCAAGGCUUUGACGGGUAGCCGUCCUGAGAGGGUGAUCGGCCACACUGGGAAGGAGACACGGCCCGGACCCCGACGGGGGGAAGCAGUGGGGAAUAUGGCACAAGGGGCGAAAGCCCGAUCCAGCAAGCCCGCGUGAGGGAAGAAGGCCUAGGCGGCUUGAAAAGCUUUCUCAUGGAAGGCGCGAUGAUGACAAGAAUCGAGGAAGAAGCCCCGGCUAACUCCGUG
rnacentral:rRNA from 1 species